UGGGGAAUAUUGCACAAUGGGCGAAAGCCUGAUGCAGCAAUGCCGCGUGUGUGAAGAAGGCCUGCGGGUUGUAAAGCACUUUCAAUUGGGAAGAAAGCUUGUUGGUUAAUACCUGGCAAGUUUGACGUUACCUUUAGAAGAAGCACCGGCUAACUCCGUGCCAGCAGCCGCGGUAAUACGGAGGGUGCAAGCGUUAAUCGGAUUUACUGGGCGUAAAGCGCGCGUAGGCGGUUUGGUAAGUCGGAUGCGAAAUCCCAGGGCUCAACCUUGGAAUUGCAUUCGAUACUGCCUCACUAGAGUAUGGUAGAGGGAAGUGGAAUUCCGGGUGUAGCGGUGAAAUGCGUAGAUAUCCGGAGGAACAUCAGUGGCGAAGGCGACUUCCUGGCCCAAUACUGACGCUGAGGUGCGGAAGCGUGGGGAGCAAACAGGAUUAGAUACCCCGGUAGUCC
rnacentral:rRNA from 1 species